rnacentral:rRNA from 1 species
CUAAUCGAAAGAUUAGCUAAUACCGCAUAUCUUCUGAGGAAGAAAGCAGGGGACCAUUUGGCCUUGCGCUGUUUGAGCGGCCGAUAUCUGAUUAGCUAGUUGGUGGGGUAAAGGCCUACCAAGGCGACGAUCAGUAGCGGGUCUGAGAGGAUGAUCCGCCACACUGGGACUGAGACACGGCCCAGACUCCUACGGGAGGCAGCAGUGGGGAAUUUUGGACAAUGGGCGCAAGCCUGAUCCAGCCAUGCCGCGUGUCUGAAGAAGGGCUUCGGGUUGUAAAGGACUUUUGUCAGGGAAGAAAAGGGCCGGGUUAAUACCCCUUCUGAUGAC